AAUGUGAUUAUCCGUAUAUAGCUCACAACUCUUUCAAUGUUGCUGCUCGUCAAAGUCAUCCAAACCGCGCAUGGUCGUGUCAAUAUAUCUGGCGUCAGCUUAGUAAGCAUCAUUACAGUCGAGUGUGAGUUUCCUCCAACUGGGCGCGUUACAAUUUAUCUCGCCGAAAUGCCACCAAAACCGACGCCAGAAAAGCCGCCAGAAAAGCCGCCACAAUCUAAACUAAGGCCUAACGUCACUCCCGAUCCAGGUUACAAACCGCCUGCUAACCAACAGUAACAGUAUCGUGUUCUGAAGAAGACGUAAAGACGAAACAUGGUUCGCAUCCUGUACGAUACUUUAAGAAGAAACAUGACACAAGAAAGAGAGUAAAUGAAGCCUAGCGCACAAGGACCGAUGUGUUAUCUUUUCUGUUCUGUUUUCUUCAAGUUUACUUGUGACAGUUUGCACUCCUGUUUUGAAAAACUUUAAAGACUCUUGUACUUUGUUGGAACAUUACUUUGUAUCAGUAGGAAAAGCUAUAAAUUCGUUACAGUUUUCAUGAGAUUAUAAUCACGUCUGUUUAAGUGCAUGCAUCAUUUUUAAGUUAAAUUGCUUGCGUACAAGAAAAGCAUCAUUUAUUCUUUCAUUUCUGGUGUGAACUGUGAAACGCAUGAUUUUUGUAGACAGAGCCAUCAUGAAAUAAAUAUUGUGAAGAAAGUGA